UACGUAGGGUGCGAGCGUUAAUCGGAAUUACUGGGCGUAAAGCGCGCGUAGACGGUUUUGUAAGUCAGAUGUGAAAUCCCUGGGCUCAACCUGGGAAUUGCAUUGGAGACUGCAAGGCUAGAAUCUGGCAGAGGGGGGUAGAAUUCCACGUGUAGCAGUGAAAUGCGUAGAUAUGUGGAGGAACACCGAUGGCGAAGGCAGCCCCCUGGGUCAAGAUUGACGCUCAUGCACGAAAGCGUGGGGAGCAAACAGG
rnacentral:rRNA from 1 species